rnacentral:rRNA from 1 species
UACGGAGGGUGCAAGCGUUAUCCGGAUUCACUGGGUUUAAAGGGUGCGUAGGUGGGUUGGUAAGUCAGUGGUGAAAUCUCCGAGCUUAACUUGGAAACUGCCAUUGAUACUAUCAGUCUUGAAUAUUGUGGAGGUCAGCGGAAUAUGUCAUGUAGCGGUGAAAUGCUUAGAUAUGACAUAGAACACCAAUUGCGAAGGCAGCUGGCUACACAUAUAUUGACACUGAGGCACGAAAGCGUGGGAUCAAACAGG